GUCCCUUCAUGGACAUCUGAUGAAUUUGGAAAUAUAGAGAAGAUUAGCAUGAGGCGUGCACAAGAAUGACAUUUAUAAAUUGAGAAAUUGUCCAAACAAGC